GCGAAGGUGGCGGAAUUGGUAGACGCGCUAGCUUVVVGGACGUGGGGGUUCAAGUCCCCCCCCUCGCACCA
rnacentral:tRNA from 1 species